AUUAAUGGGCCAGGGGGUGUUAUAAUCGGAGGGAAUGGUAUGAAAUGAACAUCUUGCUUGGGUCAAAGGCUCAAGCUCCAAACAACUCCAUAUGCCAAAAUCGGGUUCAUCGAGAACCGUGACCUGCCUAAAGAAGCUCAUGGAUUCAAAGUAGAUGCACACCGUAACACGAAAGCGGCGGGAGGAAAUGUUGACGUCCAAAACAAGAAUCUCUCACCGUAGGCAUUUGGAUCUUGUUCCUGUGACUUCCUCUGUGCCAAAGUCUUGUUUUCGCGUCGUCGAUGGUGAUGCGCUCGUUUGAUGCGUUGUUGCACUCGUGAUUUGUGAUGAAGAGGCCAUGAUGAAUGGAAGCAUAUGGAUAUGGAAUUGGACAUGGAUUUGGGGCAGCUCAUGGAAUACUCGAAUUGCUCUUGGAUUGUGUUGUCAUGGAAAAUAUUGAGAUUUUGUAAUGUAGUUUUAGGAUUGAAAUUGAAAAUGGCUGUGUAACGCAUUUUGGAAACAAAGGUUAUAAUUAAAAAAUUGACAAACACAUGUAUGUAUAUUGAUUUUGUAGAAAUAAAACAUAGGUUGAAUGUGAAAAUAGAUGAGAAAGUGGAUUGGAAUGUAAGGCCUUAGCAAUUGAUCAAACCUUGCACAUGGAUAGUGAAAUUGAAUAUAUGGGAUUUGGUGUCAA